GAGUCGGAACCGCUCGUAUCGGUGACUUGCGUGUCACGCCGCGGCACACGUGACUCGAAGGUCAUAUUCCGGGAUCGAUCGGGAAGCGGGCUGGUUUUUCAGGAGGCCGCACGCCGCUCCCGGAAGCCCGUAAGGUUCUGCCCGUACCGACGAUCGGUUGCCUCGUAUUUCGCUAUCGAUGCACCAGGUCUCUCAACGAAAACAACGAUUUUCAACGAAUGAUUGACGAAAUCGGAGCAGAUUCGUUCGCGGUUGUCGCGAGGUUUCGCCUCGAUCCUCGAGGAGCCUCUCACGUCCAUCUCAUGUCUCGAAUAUUAGCACACGAUUAAAGGAUUACAUUUACGUGUCUGUGUGGGUGGUUCGAUCGAAUCCUGGCGGCCAUUAGAAUCGUUCGAAUGGACUGGACGGAGCUUUCUCGAAGAGACAACGCGUCUCCUCGAAGAUUAAGUCGUGCGAUCGUUAUUCGUCGAUUCGAUCGCACUUUGGCCUCUCUUUGGCACUGCAAGUCACCGUCUACCUUUCACCCGAUUAUCGCGAUCCUGGACAACCGGACGACCGCUCCUCCCGCCUGAUAUAUACGUGUACACGCGGCGAGAAACUCGUCGCUCUCCACGAUAACUGCUCCGCGACAUCGAACAGUCCCGCGACUGCGCACACUCGAUUCCCGUUCCUCGAGCCUCGAUUUUCCACUCUCGUGCCCUUUCUUUCUUUACACCAGUCACGGGGCUGGAUGUUCCUGGAAUUGGUAGGGACGAGAGGAAAAAGAUGGCAGUAACGGUCAUCGAUGAAGGAAGGUCGAGGUCCUUGAUUCGAGAUGAAGAUACAAAAUUAUGGAAACUCGGUUACGGGUGUUUCGAGGUUUUGAUAACGUUGUUUUUCAUGGUUGCGCUGUCAGAUACCGGAGGAUUUUGGUUUAUUGGGUGGAUGAUUGAUGGAUUUUAUUUGGGAAGUAGAUUACGAUGGGUAGUAUCUAUCAUAAAUAAAUAAGAUUUGGAAUUUUUCUAGCGAAUAUGCGUGCAAAUAAAAUUUGUUUUUCUAUACUUUAUAACGGUCUUAGUAUGAGACGUAGAAUAAUACAAAUUUCCUAUAUUAUGUACCAUCUUUAAUAUGUUUUGGCCAAAUAUUUAUUCACGCUGUGAAAGUAUAUGAUCUUUUGAUUAAAAUAAUAUAUAAUUCUCCUUCAGGAUGUAUUAUAUCUGUUUCAAUAAAUAAAAUUCUCUUA